rnacentral:rRNA from 1 species
UUUUGAGUGAUGGUGGACGGCGGCAAGGGUGAGUUGACACCUAUUCCACCUUUCCGGCAAACACUGCGCAUGGCCUAUCGGAAAGAAAAAAUUUAAUACCGGGACGGCAUAGUUUUCCCGGCAUGGGAUAAUUAUUAACGAAUUUCGGUUUGUCGAUGCGGAUGUGUUCCAUUAGGCAGUUGGCGGGGUAACGGCCCACCAACCCAGCGCUGGAUCGGGGUUCUGAGAGGAAGGUCCCCCACAUUGGAACUGACACACGGUCCAAACUCCUACGGGAGGCAGCAGUGAGGAAUAUUGGUCAAUGGACGAGAGUCUGAACCAGCCAAGUAGCGUGAAGGAUGACUGCCCUAUGGGUUGUAAACUUCUUUUAUACGGGAAUAAAGUGAGCCACGUGUGGCUUUUUGUAUGUACCGUACGAAUAAGGAUCGGCUAACUCCGUGCCAGCAGCCGCGGUAAUACGGAGGAUCCGAGCGUUAUCCGGUUUUAUUGGGUUUAAAGGGAGCGUAGGCGGGUUGUUAAGUCAGUUGUGAAAGUUUGCGGCUCAACCGUAAAAUUGCAGUUGAUACUGGCGACCUUGAGUGCAACAGAGGUAGGCGGAAUUCGUGGUGUAGCGGUGAAAUGCUUAGAUAUCUCGAAGAACUCCGAUCGCGAAGGCAGCUUAUUGGAUUGUAACUGACGCUGAUGCUCGCAAGUGUGGGUAUCAAACACGAAUUAGAUACCCUGGUAGUCCACACAGUAAACGAUGAAUACUCGCUGUUGGCGAUAUACGGUCAGCGGCCAAGCGAAAGCAUUAAGUAUUCCACGUGGGGAGUACGCCGGCAACGGUGAAACUCAAAGGAAUUGACGGGGGCCCGCACAAGCGGAGGAACAUGUGGUUUAAUUCGAUGAUACGCGAGGAACCUUACCCGGGCUUAAAUUGCAACUGACGGAACCGGAAACGGUUCUUUCUUCGGACAGUUGUGAAGGUGCUGCAUGGUUGUCGUCAGCUCGUGCCGUGAGGUGUCGGCUUAAGUGCCAUAACGAGCGCAACCCUUACGGGUAGUUACCAUCAGGUUAUGCUGGGGACUCUACCCGGACUGCCGUCGUAAGAUGUGAGGAAGGUGGGGAUGACGUCAAAUCAGCACGGCCCUUACGUCCGGGGCUACACACGUGUUACAAUGGGGGGUACAGAAGGCAGCUACACGGCGACGUGGUGCUAAUCCCAAAAGCCUCUCUCAGUUCGGAUUGGAGUAUGCAACCUGACUCCAUGAAGCUGGAUUCGCUAGUAAUCGCGCAUCAGCCACGGCGCGGUGAACACGUUCCCGGCCCUUGCACACACCGCCCGUCAAG